UACGGAGGGAGCUAGCGUUGUUCGGAUAUACUGGGCGUAAAGCGCACGUAGGCGGCGCAGCAAGUCAGGGGUGAAAUCCCGGAGCUCAACUCCGGAACUGCCUUUGAAACUGCAGUGCUAGAAUUCUGGAGAGGCGAGUGGAAUUCCGAGUGUAGAGGUGAAAUUCGUAGAUAUUCGGAAGAACACCAGUGGCGAAGGCGGCUCACUGGACCGGUAUUGACGCUGAGGUGCGAAAGCGUGGGGAGCGAACAGG
rnacentral:rRNA from 1 species